rnacentral:misc_RNA from 1 species
AACGCAAAUUGCGCCCUUUGGUAUUCCGAAGGGCAUGCCUGUUUGAGUGUCAUAUAGACUUCAUCUACUCGGGUUUCCGAGCAAGGUGCUUUGGACGUCUGCCAGAUUCGGCUCGUCUUAAAUGUCUAAGUGGAAUGCGUAAUAAGCCUUUUCGUAACCUCCACUCUAAUCACACUUUAGCUCUGACCUCAAAUCAGGUAGGACUACCCGCUGAACUUAA